CGUUCCCGCGGCCUUAUCGCAACUACACUGACCUUAAGUUUUAUCCUUCUCUCUGUGAUUAUGCUUCCACUCUGACAGUCCGAGCUAAUCUGAAUCCAUGAGGAAGAAAGAUUUACUCUGUCCCUCACUAUAUGAGGCCUAACAAAUGACAGUAGCAGGUCUUAAUUUAUGGGCGCAACUGAAGAUUUUAUUUUUUCGCCGGGGACUUCUACUGAAGAUUCGCUGCUAAGCUGUUGCAGAAUGGUGGAACUGUAAAUGAAAAAAAAGAAGAAGUAAAAAGGGAUAAUUUUGUUCUUACCCCUAUUUUGAUAUCCAAUAUCGAUUUUGCUCCUAGUUUUUAAGGUUUUUAUUUUUGCCCCUGUUUUCUGAAAAUGAAGUAGACGUUUACCCCUAUUUUUAACGGAAGUUAGUCAACCUGGGAUUAUGGAGCUGAAGAAGUAGAGAAAAAAAGAAGUAAUGAUUUUUAAUUCGUUGAUGGACCUUUAUACCCCUGGUGAGCCAUAACCAAACAAUGCCGGUCCUUGCCUUCCCCAAUCCCACCUAUGGUGACGAGCAGAAGGCCGCGCGUGUCGAGGCAGGCCAGGCGACUGCGGCUCGACAAGGGGACGAGAGGACGAUGGGCUCUUGUCCAGGCGGUAGCGGCUUAUCGUGAGGAGCUUGUGGCGGCGGCGUCUCAGCUAGGCAUCGGCGGCUUCAUGCGGGAAGGCGACGACGGCAGUGGCCCGGCCAAGCGGUGGCGGCUAGCACGCCAAGCAACAGGCCGCGCGCAGCGAGCAGGUCUCACGGGCGCUGCAAGCUGAUGGCGAGCAGGCCGGGCGCGGCGGACGGCCGGAGGUGCACGCUGCGGCAAGCAGCACCAACCUGGCAAUUGGAAGAAGCAACAUGCUACUAGAUUGGAUUUUUUUGACCUCAUGAUUUGGAUUUGCUUGAUUUUGUGAUGAUUGCUAUUACAUGUCUUUUGUUAGCUGUGUAAAAACCAUGCCCAAAUUCUGUCUUUUUUUUCUUUUGCAAAAUAUACAAAUUUUAUCAAAUUUGUCGCAAAAUUAUAUUAUGUCAAAAUUUUUAAUGUUCUAUCAAAAAUUGUCAUAUUUGCAAAAGUUUGUGAAAAAUGCAAUGUAAAAAUGGGGGCAAAUGCACAAUUAUUGAAUAAACAUUCAGACAAAUAUUCAAUAUCAAAUAGGGGUAUGAUUGUCUUUUCGCCAGAGAUGUAACACCGUUAACAUGUCCAUCCAAAGUAGGGGUAAAAUUUG